rnacentral:rRNA from 1 species
GACGAACGCUGGCGGCGCGCUUAACACAUGCAAGUCGAACGGAAAGGCCUGCUUUCCCUUGUGGAUUGCGGGUACUCGAGUGGCGAACGGGUGAGUAACACGUGAGUGAUCUGCCCCCAACUUGGGUAUAAGCCUGGGAAACUGGGUCUAAUUCCCGAUAGGACUGCAGGGUGGUGCCUGUGGUGGAAAACGAUUUUCUAGUGGUUGGGGAUGAGCUCGCGGCCUAUCAGCUUGUUGGUGGGGUAAUGGCCUACCAAGGCGGCGACGCGUAGCCGGCCUGAGAGGGUGGACGGCCACAUUGGGACUGAGAUACGGCCCAGACUCCUACGGGAGGCAGCAGUGGGGAAUAUUGCACAAUGGGCGGAAGCCUGAUGCAGCGACGCCGCGUGGGGGAUGACGGCCUUCGGGUUGUAAACUCCUUUCGACCGCGAGGAAGCCACCUGGUUGGAAGGGUGGUGACGGUAGUGGUAGAAGAAGCACCGGCUAACUACGUG